rnacentral:rRNA from 1 species
GGGGAAUAUUGGGCAAUGGGCGAAAGCCUGACCCAGCAACGCCGCGUGAAGGAAGAAGGUUUUCGGAUUGUAAACUUCUGUCCUCAGGGAAGAAGGAAGUGACGGUACCUGAGGAGGAAGCCCCGGCUAACUACGUGCCAGCAGCCGCGGUAAUACGUAGGGGGCGAGCGUUGUCCGGAAUGACUGGGCGUAAAGGGCGCGUAGACGGUUUUUUAAGCCUGAGGUGAAAGGUUGGGGCUCAACCCCAUACAGUGCCUUGGGGACUGGUAGUCUGGAGGCAGGCAGAGGUGCGUGGAAUUCCUGGUGUAGCGGUGGAAUGCGUAGAUAUCAGGAAGAACACCCGUGGCGAAGGCGGCGCACUGGGCCUGUACUGACGCUGAGACGCGAAAGCGUGGGGAGCGAACG